AUUGAACGCUGGCGGCAGGCCUAACACAUGCAAGUCGAACGAGUGGCGGACGGGUGAGUAAUGUCUGGGAAACUGCCCGAUGGAGGGGGAUAACUACUGGAAACGGUAGCUAAUACCGCAUACCAUCGGAUGUGCCCAGAUGGGAUUAGCUUGUAGGUGAGGUAACGGCUCACCUAGGCGACGAUCCCUAGCUGGUCUGAGAGGAUGACCAGACACACUGGAACUGAGACACGGUCCAGACUCCUCCGUGAGUCAGCAGUGGGGAAUAUUGCACAAGGGGCGCAAGCCUGAUGCAGCCAUGCCGCGUGUAUGAAGAAGGCCUUCGGGUUGUAAAGUACUUGCAGCGGGGAGGCGUUACCCUCAGAAGAAGCACCGGCUAACUCCGUGCCAGCAGCCGCGGUAAUUC
rnacentral:rRNA from 1 species